UCGAGAAUCUUCCGCAAUGGACGAAAGUCUGACGGAGCGACGCCGCGUGGUGGAUGAAGUCCUUAGGGACGUAAACACCUUUUAUGAGGGAGGAAGUUUAUUGACGUUACCUCAUGAAUAAGGGGCUCCCAAUUCUGUGCCAGCAGGAGCGGUAAUACAGAAGCCCCAAGCGUUACCCGGAUUUACUGGGCGUAAAGGGUGUGUAGGUGGCGUGAUUAGUCGGGUGUUAAAUCCUGGGGCUCAACCCCAGGCCCGCAUUCGAAACGGUCAUGCUGGAGGAAGUGAGAGGUGUGUGGAACUCACGGUGUAGGGGUGAAAUCCGUUGAUAUCGGGAGGAACACCUGAGGCGAAGGCGGGCUACUAGGCUGAUACUGACGCUGAGGCGCGAAAGCCAGGGGAGCAAACGGGAUUAGAUACCCAAGUAGUCCCUGAGCGGGCUGGCAAGGCGCAU
rnacentral:rRNA from 1 species